GUCCACGCAGUAAACGAUGAUAGCUCGUUGUCGGCGAUACACAGUCGGUGACUAAGAGAAAUCGAUAAGCUAUCCACCUGGGGAGUACGUUCGCAAGAAUGAAACUCAAAGGAAUUGACGGGGGCCCGCACAAGCGGAGGAACAUGUGGUUUAAUUCGAUGAUACGCGAGGAACCUUACCCGGGCUUGAAAGUUACUGACGAUUCUGGAAACAGGAUUUCCCUUCGGGGCAGGAAACUAGGUGCUGCAUGGUUGUCGU
rnacentral:rRNA from 1 species